GUCCAGGGAUGGGAAACGAACCCACAGUGUUCCGCUUACCGGACAUAUACCAUGUCCACUAGGCUACCCUGGA
rnacentral:tRNA from 1 species